rnacentral:rRNA from 1 species
UACAGAGGUCCCAAGCGUUGUUCGGAUUCACUGGGCGUAAAGGGUGCGUAGGUGGCUUGGUAAGUUUGGUGUGAAAUCUCCGGGCUUAACCCGGAAAUGGCAUUGAAUACUAUUGAGCUGGAGGUUUGGAGGGGGGACUGGAAUUCUCGGUGUAGCAGUGAAAUGCGUAGAUAUCGAGAGGAACACCAGUGGCGAAGGCGAGUCCCUGGACAACACCUGACACUGAGGCACGAAAGCUAGGGGAGCAAACAGG